AUUGAACGCUGGCGGCAUGCCUUACACAUGCGAGUCGAACGGCAGCACGGGUGCUUGCACCUGGUGGCGAGUGGCGAACGGGUGAGUAAUACAUCGGAACAUGUCCUGUAGUGGGGGAUAGCCCGGCGAAAGCCGGAUUAAUACCGCAUACGAUCUACGGAUGAAAGCGGGGGACCUUCGGGCCUCGCGCUAUAGGGUUGGCCGAUGGCUGAUUAGCUAGUUGGUGGGGUAAAGGCCUACCAAGGCGACGAUCAGUAGCUGGUCUGAGAGGACGACCCGCCACACUGGGACUGAGACACGGCCCAGACUCCUACGGGAGGCAGCAGUGGGGAAUUUUGGACAAUGGGCGAAAGCCUGAUCCAGCAAUGCCGCGUGUGUGAAGAAGGCCUUCGGGUUGUAAAGCACUUUUGUCCGGAAAGAAAUCCUUGGCCCUAAUACGGUCGGGGGAUGACGGUACCGGAAGAAUAAGCACCGGCUAACUACGUG
rnacentral:rRNA from 1 species